AGUGAACGCUGGCGGCGUGCUUAACACAUGCAAGUCGAACGAGAACGGAUUAUAGCUUGCUAUAAUUGUCAGCUAAGUGGCGCACGGGUGAGUAAUGUAUAGGUAAUAUGCCUCUUACUAAGGGAUAACAAAUGGAAACGUUUGCUAAUACCUUAUACUCCUUAUUAACAGAAGUUAAUAAGGGAAAGAUUUAUUGGUAAGAGAUUAGCCUGUAUUGUAUCAGUUAGUUGGUGGGGUAAUGGCUUACCAAGACUAUGACACAUAACUGGUGUGGGAGGAUGAUCAGUCACACUGGAACUGAGACGCGGUGCAGACUCCUACGGGAGGCAGCAGUGGGGGAUAUUGCACAAUGGACGGAAGUCUGAUGCAGCAACGCCGCGUGGAGGAUGACACAUUUCGGUGCGUAAACUCCUUUUAUAUGAGAAGAUAAUGACGGUAUUAUAUGAAUAAGCACCGGCUAACUCCGUGCCAGCAGCCGCCGUAA
rnacentral:rRNA from 1 species